UUUGACAAUGGAUUGGAUUUUUUUUGGACAAUGGAUUGGAUUUGCAAGAACCGGCCACUCCCCUCCCGAUCGCGCCCCGGCUCCCCCCAAUCCGAGGUCCGAGCGCGCAAACCCUAACUCCGCGCGAUCUUAAUGCGCAGGGGCCCCGGCGGCGAGGCAUCGCUCCGCCGGCGCUGCUCUGGGUGGCCGUGGCGGCGCUGGUGGCCUGCGUGAUCUGGCUCUGCUGCUGCUCCUCCUCCGUAGGCCUACUCGGCACAUCACACAGGGUCCAGUGGUUUUGUAGGCAUUUAUGAUGUUUCCCACUUCAUCAAGACAUUGAAAUAUGAUGUUCGACUUGUUAUGAGCAUUCCAGAAAUCACUCCAAAUGGAAAGACCAAGAAACUCAAGGCACAUCAGCGAAACCGUGUAUCAGCCCGUACCCAACCCAGAUGGACCCGUCAUCCUGGUCCCUAGUCUGGGUUGAAUACGGACCAGUAUGGACCCACAUGAAGGAGAAGGUGGUCCAUUGGUUUGUGGGUUCGACCUGUGAAAAACACGGAGGCCGCAAACCAGUAUGAUGGAGGCUGCAGCGACGGGCGGCGGCUGGCGGCCGUGAUGAAGAUGAUUCCUCGAGGUGGAGUCUGCGCUUGCGGUUGAGGCAGCAUGGGAACUAAAGGAGGCUGUUGCCUCCAUGGAUGGAUCCCUGAAUAUGGAUGCGGUCACGUCGCUGGAUCUCCAUCGAGUUCGGCGGCGAUGGGUCGAUCUCCGCUGAGGCGCUGACAAGGUUUGCCUUCCAUCCUUCUUGUGUCGAUGGCUUCCUUUUUUUCCAUGUUUGCUCAUUGUUCGUGGAUUGUCUUCAAUGAUGAACCCUAGCUCAGAUCGAGUCCAAGAUUCAAUUUAUAGGAACUCACUUGUUCGUGGAUUGUUCAUCUAGUAGCUGCUUUGCUGCCUUAGUUUGAGAUGCGAAACUAGAGCUUGUCCACCCACCUUGGGGGAGGCACGGACGAGGAGGAUUGUGAGGUAGGACGAGCGCUUCCUCCUCUAUCGCUGACCUUGGCCUCCGCGGAGUUCCAGCGAGGGGGCUCCUAUGAGGAUGCGGCCGGGCUCCCUACUUGCAAUGAGCAGCGGCGUCCGGCCUCCCUCCAAAUCCGCCCGGAGCCUCCUUCACCAGGUCUGUAUACAAGGGAGGAUAAGCCUCUGAAGAUCUGUUCAUCAGGCCUUGUUGCCUUCUUGCCUUGUUGGAUAUGAAAAGUAAACAUCUUUGAUCUCAGUGUCCCCCUGAAUCUCGUCUAGCUUCCUACCUGUUGCGAUGUAUGCUUCAAUGUCUACAGCAUUCAAUAUGUUCAAAGCGAUCAACAGAGAGAGAUAAAUUAGACAUUGGUUUGUAAACAAAGAGAUCAACAGAGAGAUAUGCAGCAUUUAAUAGCAAAGGGUAAGGUUUCUAAACAUUCUGAUCAUAGAGACCUCAAUUACUGAAUUUGUUUGUUAGGCUUGAUAAGAAAUCAUGUCAGUGUAUCAGAUUAGAUAUGGUUGGUAUGAACUUUCUUUCACAACAGAAAAGUUCAUGAUAAUUUGAUUGGAGUGAACCAUGUAUAGUUAUUCAACAACACUAUUUGGUUUCUACUGAAACUCACUGGAUAUGGUAUGAAAUUGAUGCUACAAGGGAUUGCCCUGCUGGGCCAUCUAGAUUUUUGUAGUCGUACAAUUGUAUUAAGGGAAAUUUUAUAUCAUAUAGAUAAAGCAAAACAGCAAAGUUUCUGACCGCUCGAGAGAACUGUUAUAUCAUAGCUAUUUUUGUGGCCGAUACUUAAAUGAUUUGGAUUGUUCAUGUUCAUGCUCCUUCCUAUUUCAGGUUCUGAUUUCUCCCAUAAUUUAUUUUUCCAGUUCUCUCAGCCUGAGAUGAAGUUUUGUAGUGAGUAUAUAAUGCAUGUGUCUUGGACUCAAUGCUGUGUAGGAAGUUGGAAUUUUUUAGUGAAGAACAACAAUAAUGUCUACAUUUUUAUUUAUUUUCCUCAUGUAGUGAUAACCUUACACUGAUAUUAAAUCUGAUGGGACAAACUUCACCAAAUAAUAUUAGCUUGAUAGCAGAAUGACACUUUAUGUGUGCCUGGUAAAAACAAGCUCCGCAAAGAGGCUAAAGAAAUCUCAUGCGUGUCAGCUGAUGAUUUAUUCAAACUUAUGUUCUGCUCUCAGCUUUUCUUUUUAUUUGGUUGGUAAGAAAUUUAGGUAUGAUGGCAAAUGCACAGCUUCUUGAGGAUGAUGUUUCAAAAGACCAGCUUCUUCAUUUAGCUGGAACACAUGCAACAAAGAAGGUUGAAAACACACAACAGAUGCUUCGUUCUUCCAAAAUAAGAGGUGUUGCUUAACAAGUUUCUAGGUACAAUGUGGGGAGCACAGGCAGCCACAGAGGCACCUUUGGAACCUUUGGCGUAUGCAAGACUGGUUUACCGGUUACUUUCCAAAUGUGUUGGUGUGUUACAGCUUUGAAAAAAAUAUGGUUCUCAAGAAUAGAAGUAUUUGCUAUGUUUCUUGUCUCUUCAUAUUGGAUCAUAUGUACAUGCAGUUUUCUCGAUUUAUGUACAGAAGAGUAUGAGUCAGCUCUCAAGAUGUGAUUAAUUAAUCGUAUUAUGCAUUCUUAUUUGCAGGUUAAAAUUUUGGAUCCCAAGUUCUGGACUAGGAGGAUAAAAUUAAAAAAAUGGAGUGCCUACUUAUGGCAAUGGACUCAUUAGUUCGACCUAGAUGUGCAAUUUAAUAGAAUAUUAUAGAUACAUCUUUACAUCUUGGAGAUUCCAUUUUCUUUCAUUAGAACUUUGUUGUUUUUUGGACGGGCAGUGUGUAACCAUUGCAUUUUGUAUAAAUGUUCUUUUGCGGUCGUGCUCUUCCAGUGACAAUGAAAUCUCAUUUAAUCA